rnacentral:rRNA from 1 species
GACGGAGGAGGCUAGCGUUGUUCGGAAUUACUGGGCGUAAAGCGCGCGCAGGCGGCUUAGCAAGUCAGGGGUGAAAGCCCGGGGCUCAACCUCGGAACUGCCUUUGAGACUGCUAGGCUCGAGACCGAGAGAGGAGAGUGGAAUUCCCAGUGUAGAGGUGAAAUUCGUAGAUAUUGGGAAGAACACCAGUGGCGAAGGCGGCUCUCUGGACGGUGACUGACGCUGAGACGCGAAAGCGUGGGGAGCAAACAGG